GCAUUAGUGGUAUAAAGGUUAGAAUUGCUGCCUUCCAAGCAGCAGAUCCGGGUUCGAUUCCCGGCUAAUGCA